rfam:Ciona savignyi cont_42638, whole genome shotgun sequence.
GGAUCGCACGGUCUAGCACGGGGGGCGGAUCAUUCAAGUGUCUGCCCUAUCAACUUUCGUCGGUACGGUAUUUGCCUACCAAGGUUCUUACGGGUGACGGGGAAUCAGGGUUCGAUUCCGGAGAGGGAGCCUGAGAAGCGGCUACCACAUCCAAGGAAGGCAGCAGGCGCGCAAAUUACCCAUUCCCGACGCGGGGAGGUAGUGACGAAAAAUAACAAUGCAGGACUCGUUCGAGGCCCUGUAAUUGGAAUGAGUACACUUUAAAAGCUUUAACGAGUAUCCAUUGGAGGGCAAGUCUGGUGCCAGCAGCCGCGGUAAUUCCAGCUCCAAAAGUAUAUAUUUAAGUUGUUGCGGUCAAAAAGCUCGUAGUUGGAUUUAGGAAAAAAGGCGGCCGGUCCGUCGCAAGGCGUGUACUGGACGUCCUGGCCUUCCCUCCGGUUCUCCGCCGGUGCUCUUGACUGAGUGUCGGCGGCGGCCGGAACGUUUACUUUGUUUCCUUAGAGUGUUCAAAGCAGGCUCUCGAGCCUGGAUAAUGGUGCAUGGAAUAAUGGAAUAGGACCUCGGUUCUAUUUUGUUGGUUUUCGGAGCGCGAGGUAAUGAUUAAGAGGGACAGACGGGGGCAUUCGUACUGUGCCGUUAGAGGUGAAAUUCUUGGAUCGGCGCAAGACGAACGACUGCGAAAGCAUUUGCCAAGAAUGUUUUCUUUAAUCAAGAGCGAAAGUCAGAGGUUCGAAGACGAUCAGAUACCGUCCUAGUUCUGACUAUAAACGAUGCCAACUAGCGAUCGGGGGGCGUUACAUUGACGACCCCUCCGGCAGCUUACGGGAAACCAAAGUCUUUGGGUUCCGGGGGAAGUAUGGUUGCAAAGCUGAAACUUAAAGGAAUUGACGGAAGGGCACCACCAGGAGUGGAGCCUGCGGCUUAAUUUGACUCAACACGGGAAAUCUCACCCGGCCCGGACACAGUGAGGAUUGACAGAUUGAGAGCUCUUUCUUGAUUCUGUGGGUGGUGGUGCAUGGCCGUUCUUAGUUGGUGGAGCGAUUUGUCUGGUUAAUUCCGAUAACGAACGAGACUCUGGCUUGCUAAAUAGUUACGCGACCAUCCCGGUCGGCGUUUAACUUCUUAGAGGGAC